rnacentral:rRNA from 1 species
ACACAUGCAAGUCGAACGGAGCACCCUUGAUUGAGGUUUCGGCCAAAUGAUAGGAAUGCUUAGUGGCGGACUGGUGAGUAACGCGUGAGGAACCUGCCUUUCAGAGGGGGACAACAGUUGGAAACGACUGCUAAUACCGCAUGACGCAUUUUGACCGCAUGGUCGAAAUGCCAAAGAUUUAUCGCUGAAAGAUGGCCUCGCGUCUGAUUAGCUAGUUGGUGAGGUAACGGCCCACCAAGGCGACGAUCAGUAGCCGGACUGAGAGGUUGACCGGCCACAUUGGGACUGAGAUACGGCCCAGACUCCUACGGGAGGCAGCAGUGGGGAAUAUUGGGCAAUGGGCGCAAGCCUGACCCAGCAACGCCGCGUGAAGGAAGAAGGCUUUCGGGUUGUAAACUUCUUUUAAGUGGGAAGAGUAGAAGACGGUACCACUUGAAUAAGCCACGGCUAACUACGUGCCAGCAGCCGCGGUAAUACGUAGGUGGCAAGCGUUGUCCGGAUUUACUGGGUGUAAAGGGCGUGCAGCCGGGCAUGCAAGUCAGAUGUGAAAUCUCAGGGCUUAACCCUGAAACUGCAUUUGAAACUGUAUGUCUUGAGUGCCGGAGAGGUAAUCGGAAUUCCUUGUGUAGCGGUGAAAUGCGUAGAUAUAAGGAAGAACACCAGUGGCGAAGGCGGAUUACUGGACGGUAACUGACGGUGAGGCGCGAAAGCGUGGGGAGCGAACAGGAUUAGAUACCCUGG